rnacentral:rRNA from 1 species
AUUGAACGCUGGCGGCAUGCUUUACACAUGCAAGUCGAACGGUACAGGGAGCUUGCUCCGCUGACGAGUGGCGAACGGGUGAGUAAUGCAUCGGAACGUACCCAGUCGUGGGGGAUAACGUAGCGAAAGUUACGCUAAUACCGCAUACGUCCUGAGGGAGAAAGCGGGGGACCGAAAGGCCUCGCGCGAUUGGAGCGGCCGAUGUCGGAUUAGCUAGUUGGUAGGGUAAAGGCCUACCAAGGCGACGAUCCGUAGCGGGUCUGAGAGGAUGAUCCGCCACACUGGGACUGAGACACGGCCCAGACUCCUACGGGAGGCAGCAGUGGGGAAUUUUGGACAAUGGGCGCAAGCCUGAUCCAGCCAUGCCGCGUGAGUGAAGAAGGCCUUCGGGUUGUAAAGCUCUUUCAGGUGGAAAGAAAACGCAUGGGUCAAUACCCUGUGUGGAUGACGGUACCAUCAGAAGAAGCACCGGCUAACUACGUG